rnacentral:rRNA from 1 species
CCUACGGUUGGCAGCAGUGGGGAAUAUUGGACAAUGGGGGCAACCCUGAUCCAGCCAUGCCGCGUGUGUGAAGAAGGCCCUCGGGUUGUAAAGCACUUUCAGUGAGGAAGAACGCCUGGUGGUUAAUACCCAUCAGGAAAGACAUCACUCACAGAAGAAGCACCGGCUAACUCCGUGCCAGCAGCCGCGGUAAUACGGAGGGUGCGAGCGUUAAUCGGAAUUACUGGGCGUAAAGCGCGCGUAGGUGGCUUGAUAAGCCGGUUGUGAAAGCCCCGGGCUCAACCUGGGAACGGCAUCCGGAACUGUCAAGCUAGAGUGCAGGAGAGGAAGGUAGAAUUCCCGGUGUAGAGGUGAAAUGCGUAGAGAUCGGGAGGAAUACCAGUGGCGAAGGCGGCCUUCUGGACUGACACUGACACUGAGGUGCGAAAGCGUGGGUAGCAAACAGGAUUAGAUACCCGAGUAGUC